rnacentral:tRNA from 1 species
GGGCGAGUGGCGGAAUAGGUAUACGCGCAGCACUUAAAAUGCUGUGGGUCACAAACUCGUGUGGGUUCGAUUCCCACCUCGCCCA